AAAAAAAAUAAAACCAGCCUUGUAAAAUAAUUAAAUCAGCUUUGUUAUCUCCAGAACUUAAGAACCCAUAUCUGAAUUUGAUCAAACCAGCCUUGUCGUCUUCUUCUUUGCUCCAUAUUCUCUCUCAUGGGAUUGUUGCUAGAUGAGAAACUCGAGCAAGAGUGUUAAAAGGGAAAGCAUAUUGCUUUUUAAAAAAGUGUUCUACAGAUGACAAUCUUGAAUGGUCUUGAGGUUGAAAUGGAUUGUUGGGUAUCGAUUUCCAAAAAUCGGAAAAAUCUCCAUCAACAAAGCCUCACCAGCCACCUCCAUCAAAGCCAUCAUAUUCCUAAUGAACACAUGUGAGUUAACUCGCCCCCUUUCCCAACUCAUUCACGCUGCAGAUCUGAAAGCUCCAUCUUCGCCUUUUGAAUACGUGAUUCGGAACCCCAACGCUGCUGUACCUUGUGGAUUAAAAAGUAAAGAUCACGAGGGUUGAUUUUUUCUUGUCUUCUUCUUUCAGAAUUCACUUGAAGUUGUUUUAAUGGAAAUGGUACAGGGGUUUAAUGCCUGAGAAUGUUCAAGGAAGAAGAAGAAGAAGAAGAUUACAUUAUUAUAUGUUUUUUUAUGUUGUGAUUGUCUUCAAUUUUCCUUCUUCUUUUUCCCCCCUAUUCAAUGUUAUCUCUUGUUGAAAAAAGAGGAGAAUAAAUUGUGAGUCAACCACGUUAAAAGAUGCACGUCGCGUCAUUAAAAAGGUUAUUAGAUUCCUUCAAUGACAUGAUUAAUAGAAAAAAUGUAUUAAAUAAAUUGACAGGAUUAAGGAAUUCAUUCAA
rnacentral:lncRNA from 1 species